rnacentral:rRNA from 1 species
AACGAUGAAGUCUAGCUUGCUAGACGGAUUAGUGGCGAACGGGUGAGUAAUGCUUAGGAAUCUGCCUAUUAGUGGGGGAUAACGUAGGGAAACUUACGCUAAUACCGCAUACGACCUACGGGUGAAAGGGGGCGUUUAGCUCUCGCUAAUAGAUGAGCCUAAGUCGGAUUAGCUAGUUGGUGGGGUAAAGGCCUACCAAGGCGACGAUCUGUAGCUGGUCUGAGAGGAUGAUCAGCCACACUGGGACUGAGACACGGCCCAGACUCCUACGGGAGGCAGCAGUGGGGAAUAUUGGACAAUGGGCGAAAGCCUGAUCCAGCCAUGCCGCGUGUGUGAAGAAGGCCUUUUGGUUGUAAAGCACUUUAAGUGGGGAGGAAAAGCUUGUGGUUAAUACCCAUAAGCCCUGACGUUACCCACAGAAUAAGCACCGGCUAACUCU